UUGUUAUGAGAAAUCCUUUCUGAGGGUGUGGUUCUGCAGCUAUCGCAAAGAUAUUGCGUGAUUCGACCAAGGUCGUCACCAUACAUUGCUUCGCGUGAUUCAGCGCUGCACCAAGUGAUUACGUACGGAGUUGGUCAACCCGCUGAGCCAAGCGGAAAUCGUUGUCCGGCUCUGCCGAAUUGCUCCACUUAGCGGGACCGGAAUCGGCUGCUGCUGCUGCUGCUGCUGGUCCGUUGUGCCCGUUAGAUCGGGCUCUCGUAGGUAAUGCGGAGCCGUAUCAGCCCGCGGAUUCAAGGGCCGUUUGUUUGGCUGACCGAGACCAUCCGUAUCUACUGACCCGUUAAGUCAAGAACAGACCCGCUGCACUUUAUGCCUCGAGACCCUCGGGCGUAUCUACUCCUUCGCGACCGUGUACGUCAUGCAGGCUGCUACAAUAUCUUCCCUCUCGAAUCUUGUCUUUGAAACCGUGCUAACAGCAGUGUUGUUUCAAGAUUGCACGUGUGUGCGACCAUGUAAAAGACCGCAGCAGAGUAUUCUAGCAGAAUAACGAUUUCACCAACUGCUGAGGAUCGUUAUUGCUUAUAUUGUUGUCGUCUAACAACAAGAUUACUGUAUUAUUUGCAACGAGGAUUAUUGAGAUAAUUAUUUUUAAACAUUGAUUGAGAUCGUAACAAUUCUAGCUGUAAAUGAAGAAAAUAAUACGAAAAGAUUUUUAAGUACUGACUUUCGUGCACGAUUUUUUUUUCUGGAUGGAGAUGCGAGAUAACAUCGAGGCCUCUCGGAUAACAUUCUCGUUUGUUUGCAGAACCGGCGGCGGCAGUAUGCUAGGCGACGUGAACAUCUCCGCGAUACUGGACUCCUUUUCCGUCAGUUACGAUAAAAGAGUAAGGCCGAACUACGGAGGUCCUCCCGUCGAGGUGGGCGUCACCAUGUACGUCUUGAGUAUCAGCUCCCUAUCCGAAGUGAAAAUGGACUUCACGUUGGAUUUUUACUUCCGACAAUUCUGGACGGAUCCGCGACUCGCGUUCAAGCCGCGAACGGGUGUGGAGACGCUCAGCGUUGGCUCAGAAUUCAUCAAGAACAUUUGGGUACCAGACACCUUCUUCGUCAACGAGAAGCAGUCGUACUUUCACAUCGCUACCACCAGCAACGAGUUCAUUCGUAUUCACCAUUCGGGCAGCAUCACGCGUAGCAUACGCUUAACGAUUACAGCAUCGUGUCCCAUGAACUUGCAAUAUUUCCCGAUGGACCGGCAACUGUGCCAUAUCGAGAUCGAGAGCUUUGGAUACACAAUGCGCGAUAUUCGGUACAAAUGGAACGCCGGCCUACAGUCGGUCGGCAUCUCGAACGAGGUGGAACUACCGCAGUUUCGCGUGCUCGGUCACAGGCAACGACAGACAACCAUACACCUAUCUACAGUCGGAUACACGAUGAGGGACAUCCGGUACAAGUGGAACGAGGGCCCGAACAGCGUCGGGGUCAGCAACGAGGUCUCCCUGCCUCAAUUCAAGGUCCUCGGUCACCGCCAACGUGCCAUGGAGAUUAGUCUUACCACCGGGAAUUACUCGCGGCUGGCCUGCGAGAUCCAGUUCGUACGGUCGAUGGGCUACUACCUGAUCCAGAUCUACAUACCCUCGGGGCUGAUUGUCAUAAUAUCGUGGGUGAGCUUUUGGCUAAACCGAAACGCGACCCCCGCUCGGGUGGCCCUCGGAGUAACCACUGUGCUCACUAUGACGACCCUAAUGUCCUCGACGAACGCGGCGCUACCAAAGAUCUCCUACGUCAAGUCCAUCGACGUCUAUCUGGGCACCUGCUUCGUCAUGGUCUUUGCCUCGUUGCUCGAGUACGCCACGGUGGGCUAUAUGGCGAAGAGGAUUCAGAUGCGGAAGAACCGCUUCCAAAAGAUCGCCGAGAGCAUGAAGGCCGCGAGCGAGAACCCAGGACCGCCGCGCGUGCCCGGCGAUCAUGGCGAUCACGCGCCUAAGCAAACUGAGGUGCGGUUCAAGGUGCACGACCCAAAGGCACACAGCAAAGGUGGGACACUCGAGAACACCAUAAACGGCCGCGCCGACGAAGAAUCGGCGGGCGCGCCGCAACAUCUUAUUCACCCUGGCAAGGAUAUCACCAAGCUCUACGGUAUGAGUAGACCAUCUUGGCAGGCUGCUAUUUCAACGAGCUUCUGAACGGGGCACGAUAAAUGUCACUGCGACGGCUUCACCGUCAGCGAGCUCGAAAUGCCUCCGAGCGUGGUAUCAUCGUCGAGGUAAAAGGUCCAGUACGAAGGAUCCCGUUAAGGGGGGAGCCUGCUUUAGAACGCUGAAAAUAAGUUUGGAUGAAAUUUGGA
rnacentral:misc_RNA from 1 species